rnacentral:rRNA from 1 species
UAUCUCUGUAGAGUCUGCAUAUCAAUAAGCGGAGGAAAAGAAACUAACAAGGAUUCCCCUAGUAACGGCGAGUGAAGCGGGAAGAGCUCAAAUUUGAAAUCUUCAAGGUUUGACCUUGACGAAUUGUAGUUUAAAGAAGUGUUUUCGGUUAGAGGAGUAGUAAAAGUUCUUUGGAAUAGGACAUCAUAGAGGGUGAGAAUCCCGUAUUUGACCUAUUAUUUCCAGCUUUGUGAUACACUUUCAAAGAGUCGGAUUGUUUGGGAAUGCAGUCCAAAAUGGGUGGUAAAUUUCAUCUAAAGCUAAAUAUUGGCGAGAGACCGAUAGCGAACAAGUACCGUGAGGGAAAGAUGAAAAGAACUUUGAAAAGAGAGUUAAACAGUACGUGAAAUUGUCAAAAGGGAAGCGUUUGACACCAGUGUUGUUUUUCCGAAAAUCAAUUAAAAAUUGAUUCAUGCCAGGUUGUAUUGACCUUAUCAGCUUGCAAUUUGGUUUUGGGUCUCUUUUUGAUGCACUUUUCGGUUAACAAGUCAACAUCAAUUUCCUUUGCUGUAAAAAGGUAAGAGGAAGGUGGCUUCAAUUUCGGUUGAAGUGUUUAUAGCCUUUUAUCUCUGCAGUCGGGGAGAUUGAGGUCUGCAGCGUAGAUCCUUCGGGGCUAGAUACAUUUAUGCUAAGUUAUAGCUUUUCAUAGACAACUUGUUGACUAUGUUUAGUCAUGUAGCUUACUCGUAAGUGCUAUUUUACCUACGCUUAGGAUGUUGAGCGCAUGUCUCUCUCU